rnacentral:rRNA from 1 species
AACCCAGUGUGAUUCGUCACACUAUCGUUAACUGAAUACAUAGGUUAACGAGGCGAACCGGGGGAACUGAAACAUCUAAGUACCCCGAGGAAAAGAAAUCAACCGAGAUUCCCCCAGUAGCGGCGAGCGAACGGGGAGCAGCCCAGAGUCUGAAUCAGCUUGUGUGUUAGUGGAACGGUCUGGAAAGUCCGACGGUACAGGGUGAUAGUCCCGUACACCAAAAUGCACAGGUUGUGAACUCGAAGAGUAGGGCGGGACACGUGGUAUCCUGUCUGAAUAUGGGGGGACCAUCCUCCAAGGCUAAAUACUCCUGACUGACCGAUAGUGAACCAGUACCGUGAGGGAAAGGCGAAAAGAACCCCGGCGAGGGGAGUGAAAAAGAACCUGAAACCGUGUACGUACAAGCAGUGGGAGCACCUUCGGGUGUGACUGCGUACCUUUUGUAUAAUGGGUCAGCGACUUAUAUUCUGUAGCAAGGUUAACCGUAUAGGGGAGCCGCAGGGAAACCGAGUCUUAACUGGGCGUUAAGUUGCAGGGUAUAGACCCGAAACCCGGUGAUCUAGCCAUGGGCAGGUUGAAGGUUGGGUAACACUAACUGGAGGACCGAACCGACUAAUGUUGAAAAAUUAGCGGAUGACUUGUGGCUGGGGGUGAAAGGCCAAUCAAACCGGGAGAUAGCUGGUUCUCCCCGAAAGCUAUUUAGGUAGCGCCUCGUGAACUCAUCUUCGGGGGUAGAGCACUGUUUCGGCUAGGGGGUCAUCCCGACUUACCAACCCGAUGCAAACUACGAAUACCGAAGAAUGUUAUCACGGGAGACACACGGCGGGUGCUAACGUCCGUCGUGAAGAGGGAAACAACCCAGACCGCCAGCUAAGGUCCCAAAGUCAUGGUUAAGUGGGAAACGAUGUGGGAAGGCACAGACAGCCAGGAUGUUGGCUUAGAAGCAGCCAUCAUUUAAAGAAAGCGUAAUAGCUCACUGGUCGAGUCGGCCUGCGCGGAAGAUGUAACGGGGCUAAACCAUGCACCGAAGCUGCGGCAGCGACACUAUGUGUUGUUGGGUAGGGGAGCGUUCUGUAAGCCUGCGAAGGUGGCCUGUGAGGGUUGCUGGAGGUAUCAGAAGUGCGAAUGCUGACAUAAGUAACGAUAAAGCGGGUGAAAAGCCCGCUCGCCGGAAGACCAAGGGUUCCUGUCCAACGUUAAUCGGGGCAGGGUGAGUCGACCCCUAAGGCGAGGCCGAAAGGCGUAGUCGAUGGGAAACAGGUUAAUAUUCCUGUACUUGGUGUUACUGCGAAGGGGGGACGGAGAAGGCUAUGUUAGCCGGGCGACGGUUGUCCCGGUUUAAGCAUGUAGGCGGAGGUUCCAGGUAAAUCCGGUACCUUUUAACGCUGAGGUGUGAUGACGAGGCACUACGGUGCUGAAGUAACAAAUGCCCUGCUUCCAGGAAAAGCCUCUAAGCAUCAGGUAACAUUAAAUCGUACCCCAAACCGACACAGGUGGUCAGGUAGAGAAUACCAAGGCGCUUGAGAGAACUCGGGUGAAGGAACUAGGCAAAAUGGUGCCGUAACUUCGGGAGAAGGCACGCUGGUGUGUAGGUGAAGUCCCUGCGGA